AGUGAACGCUGGCGGCGUGCCUAAUACAUGCAAGUCGAACGGAAUUUAAAAGGGCUUGCUCUUUUAAAUUUAGUGGCGCACGGGUGAGUAAUAUAUAGCUAAUCUGCCCCUUGCUGGAGGACAACAGUUAGAAAUGACUGCUAAUACUCCAUACUCCUUUUUACCAUAAGAUAAAUCGGGAAAGAAUUUCGGCAAGGGAUGAGACUAUAUCGUAUCAGCUAGUCGGUGGGGUAACGGCCUACCGAGGCUAUGACGCGUAACUGGUCUGAGAGGAUGAUCAGUCACAUUGGAACUGAGACACGGUCCAAACUCCUACGGGAGGCAGCAGUAGGGAAUAUUGCGCAAUGGGGGAAACCCUGACGCAGCAACGCCGCGUGGAGGAUGACACUUUUCGGAGCGUAAACUCCUUUUGUUAGGGAAGAA
rnacentral:rRNA from 1 species